rnacentral:rRNA from 1 species
GAUGAACGCUGGCGGCGUGCCUAAUACAUGCAAGUCGAGCGAACGGACGAGAAGCUUGCUUCUCUGAUGUUAGCGGCGGACGGGUGAGUAACACGUGGAUCACCUACCUAUAAGACUGGGAUAACUUCGGGAAACCGGAGCUAAUACCGGAUAAUAUUUUGAACCGCAUGGUUCAAAAGUGAAAGACGGUCUUGCUGUCACUUAUAGAUGGAUCCGCGCUGCAUUAGCUAGUUGGUAAGGUAACGGCUUACCAAGGCAACGAUGCAUAGCCGACCUGAGGGGGUGAUCGGCCACGCUGGAACUGGGACACGGUCCAGACGCCUACGGGAGGCAGCAGUAGGGAAUCUUCCGCAAUGGGCGAAAACCUGGCGGAGCAACGCCGCGUGAGUGAUGGAGGUCUUCGGAUCGUAAAACUCUGUUAUUAGGGAAGAACAUAUGUGUAAGUAACUGUGCACAUCUUGACGGUACCUAAUCAGAAAGCCACGGCUAACUACGUG